AUACGUAUGUCGCAAGCGUUAUCCGGAUUUAUUGGGCGUAAAGCGCGUCUAGGCGGCUUAGUAAGUCUGAUGUGAAAAUGCGGGGCUCAACCCCGUAUUGCGUUGGAAACUGCUAAACUAGAGUACUGGAGAGGUAGGCGGAACUACAAGUGUAGAGGUGAAAUUCGUAGAUAUUUGUAGGAAUGCCGAUGGGGAAGCCAGCCUACUGGACAGAUACUGACGCUAAGGCGCGAAAGCGUGGGUAGCAAACAGGAUUAGAUACCCUGGUCGUCCACGCCGUAAACGAUGAUUACUAGGUGUUGGGGGUCGAACCUCAGCGCCCAAGCUAACGCGAUAAGUAAUCCGCCUGGGGAGUACGUACGCAAGUAUGAAACUUAAAGGAAUUGACGGGG
rnacentral:rRNA from 1 species